rnacentral:rRNA from 1 species
AUGUUUGCUCAAUCGCGUGGUGGCUCUCAGUUUUGGAAGUCCUUGGUCAAAGUUAGACCUGUGUUUCAAUCUUUUGUUAAGUUUGUUGUUGGGGAUGACUCCUUGAUUAGGUUUUGGCUUGAUUGGUGGUGCGGAGACUCACCCCUCUCGGUGUCCUUCUCCGCCCUUUUCUCUUAUUGUUCUGAUCCUAGCAUUUCUAUUGCGGAGUUGGCUGCCCAGGGGUGGAACUUGGUCUUUCGCCGCUCCCUGUCGCAACGUCUUACUGCCCUCUUCCCAUCGCUCUCGACGAAUAGGGAUUCGGUAGUCUGGCCGCUGUCUGCCUCUGGGCGCUUCUCUGUUAAGUCGCUUUAUUCUAGGCUUGUUGGUGGCACGCCCACUAAUCGGUUUUCCCAAAUCUGGAAGGCCCGUAUUCCUCCCAAAAUUAAGAUUUUCUUGUGGCAAGCUUUCAGAGGCCGGUUGCCCUCGGCUGAUCAAAUUCGUAAGAGAAAUGGGUCAGGCUCCCAGUUUUGUGCUUUGUGCGGUGCUGUGGAGGACACAUACCAUAUUUUUUUCCAUUGUGCCCUGGCAAAACUCAUUUGGAGCUGCGUUAGGGAGUGGCUUCUUGUCUCUUGGGCCUCUGGCUCCUUCUCCGAGUUGCGCAGCUUGGCUGACAAUCUUUCGGGUGUAUCUAGACGUAUCUUUUGGGUGGGCCUCGGUGCUUUUUGCUGGUCCCUUUGGACGACUAGGAACAAAUUUACUAUUGAACGUGUGUUUCCGGCUAAACCUGCUGACUGCUUGUUUAAAUCAUGUGCUUAA